rnacentral:rRNA from 1 species
GGCCUUUUGAGUAUGAUUUAAGGUCUAGCCUGCCCAAUGAUAAAAAAAUUUAAUGGCCGCAGUAUAUUGACUGUGCAAAGGUAGCAUAAUCAUUAGUUUUUUAAUUGAAAGCUGGUAUGAAAGGUUUGAUGAAAAAAAGACUGUCUCUAUUUAAAAUUUUAGAAAUUUAUUUUUAAGUUAAAAAGCUUAAAUUUAUAUUGAAGACGAGAAGACCCUGUAGAGUUUGAUUUAUAUGUAAAUAAAUAAAAUUUAGUAUUUAAAAUUUUAUUUUUAUAUAAAUUUAGUUGGGGUGAUUGAAAAAUUUAUAAAACUUUUUUUAUAUUUUUACAUUUAUUUAUGAUUUUAUGAUCCUUUAUUAGAUUAUAAGAUAAAAUUACCUUAGGGAUAACAGCGUAAUUUUUUUUAGAGUUCUUAUCGAAUAAAAAGAUUGCGACCUCGAUGUUGGAUUAAAAUUAAAUUUUUGGUGAAGAAGCUAAAAAACUAGGUCUGUUCGACCUUUAAAUUUUUACAUGAUCUGAGUUUAAACCGGUGUAAG